AUACGGAGGGUGCAAGCGUUGUUCGGAAUCACUGGGCGUAAAGGGCGCGCAGGCGGUUUGGUAAGUCAGAUGUGAAAGCCCAUGGCUCAACCAUGGAAGUGCAUUUGAAACUGUCAGACUUGAGUACUAGAGGGGAAAGUGGAAUUCCCGGUGUAGAGGUGAAAUUCGUAGAUAUCGGGGGGAAUACCGGUGGCGAAGGCGACUUUCUGGCUAGAUACUGACGCUGAGGCGCGAAAGCGUGGGGAGCAAACAGGAUUAGAAACCCGAGUAGUCC
rnacentral:rRNA from 1 species